AGUUAAAGGGCCGCGGUAUUCUGACCGUGCGAAGGUAGCAUAAUCAUUAGUCUUUUAAUUGGAGGCUUGUAUGAAUGGUCGGACAAAAAGCAAGCUGUCUCAAUUAUAUUAUUUGAAUUUAACUUUUAAGUGAAAAGGCUUAAAUAAACUAAAGGGACGAUAAGACCCUAUAAAGCUUUACAAUUAUUUAAUUAAAUUAUAAAUUGUUGGUUUAACUUGAUUUAAUUAAUAUUUGUUUCGUUGGGGCGACGAGAAUAAAAUUAAGGUAACUGUUCUUUUAUAGGUAGUCACAAAUUUGUUUGGGUAAAAAUUGAUCCUUUAUUAAAGAUCAAAAGAUUAAGUUACUUUAGGGAUAACAGCGUAAUCUUCUUUGAGAGUUCAUAUCGACAAGAAGGGUUGCGACCUCGAUGUUGAAUUAAAGUAUCCUUGUGGUGUAGCAGUUACAAAGGAGGGUCUGUUCGACCUUUAAUUCUUUACUGAUC
rnacentral:rRNA from 1 species